GGCGGGUUGGCAGAAUGGCCAUGCAGCGGAUUGCAAAUCCGUCCAUCUCGGUUCGACUCCGGGACCCGCCUCCA
rnacentral:tRNA from 9 species